CCUACGGGAGGCAGCAGUGGGGGAUAUUGCACAAUGGGCGAAAGCCUGAUGCAGCGACGCCGCGUGAGGGAAGACGGUCUUCGGAUCGUAAACCUCUGUCUUUGGGGAAGAAAAUGACGGUUGCCAAAGAGGAAUCUCCUGCUAACUACGUGCCAGCAGCCGCGGUAUUACGUAGGGAGCAAGGGUUGUCUGGAAUUACUGGGUGAAACGGGAGCGUAGGGGGGUUGGCAUGUAGAAGGUUAAAUCCAUCGGCUCAACCGGUGGCUGCGUUCUAAACUGCCGUUCUUGAGUGAAGUAGAGGCAGGCGGAAUUCCUAGUGUAGCGGUGAAAUGCGUAGAUAUUAGGAGGAACACCAGUGGCGAAGGCGGCCUGCUGGGCUUUAACUGACGCUGAGGCUCGAAAGCGUGGGGAGCAAACAGGAUUAGAUACCCCUGUAGUC
rnacentral:rRNA from 1 species